rnacentral:rRNA from 1 species
UACGAGCGGCCCAAACGUUAUUCGGAUUUACUGGGCUUAAAGAGUCCGCAGGCGGCGCAGCAAGUGGGGUGUGAAAGCCCUCGGCUUAACCGAGGAAUUGCGCUCCAAACUACUGUGCUUGAGGAAUCUAGAGGUGAGCGGAACUGAUGGUGGAGCGGUGAAAUGCGUUGAUAUCAUCAGGAACACCGGAGGCGAAGGCGGCUCACUGGGGAUUUUCUGACGCUGAGGGACGAAAGCCAGGGGAGCGAACGGG